UGGGGAAUAUUGCACAAUGGGCGCAAGCCUGAUGCAGCCAUGCCGCGUGUGUGAAGAAGGCCUUCGGGUUGUAAAGCACUUUCAGCGGGGAGGAAGGCGUUAAGGUUAAUAACCUUGGCGAUUGACGUUACCCGCAGAAGAAGCACCGGCUAACUCCGUGCCAGCAGCCGCGGUAAUACGGAGGGUGCAAGCGUUAAUCGGAAUUACUGGGCGUAAAGCGCACGCAGGCGGUCUGUCAAGUCGGAUGUGAAAUCCCCGGGCUCAACCUGGGAACUGCAUUCGAAACUGGCAGGCUAGAGUCUUGUAGAGGGGGGUAGAAUUCCAGGUGUAGCGGUGAAAUGCGUAGAGAUCUGGAGGAAUACCGGUGGCGAAGGCGGCCCCCUGGACAAAGAAUGAAGCUCAGGUGCGAAAGCGUGGGGAGCAAACAGG
rnacentral:rRNA from 1 species